rnacentral:rRNA from 1 species
UACAGAGGGGGCAAGCGUUGUUCGGAAUUACUGGGCGUAAAGGGCGAGUAGGCGGCCUGCUAAGUCGAACGUGAAAUCCCCGGGCUCAACCCGGGAACUGCGUCCGAUACUGGCAGGCUUGAAUCCGGGAGAGGGAUGUGGAAUUCCAGGUGUAGCGGUGAAAUGCGUAGAUAUCGGGAGGAACAUCAGUGGCGAAGGCGGCCCUCUGGUCCAGUACUGACACUCAAGUGCGAAAGCGUGGGGAGCAAACAGG